AUUGAACGCUGGCGGCAUGCUUAACACACGCAAGUCGAACGGUAACGCGGGGGUAACCCUGGCGACGAGUGGCGGACGGGUGAGUAAUGCUUAGGAAUCUGCCUGAUAGUGGGGGACAACCCGAGGAAACUCGGGCUAAUACCGCAUACGACCUACGGGAGAAAGCGGGGGACCGCAAGGCCUCGCGCUGUUAGAUGAGCCUAAGCCCGAUUAGCUAGUUGGCGGGGUAAUAGCCCACCAAGGCGACGAUCGGUAGCUGGUCUGAGAGGAUGAUCAGCCACACUGGGACUGAGACACGGCCCAGACUCCUACGGGAGGCAGCAGUGGGGAAUAUUGGACAAUGGGCGCAAGCCUGAUCCAGCAAUGCCGCGUGUGUGAAGAAGGCCUGCGGGUUGUAAAGCACUUUCGGUUGGG
rnacentral:rRNA from 1 species